GCCCCCCCCCCCAUUUUCAUUUUUACUCGACAAAUGGGGAUACCCAGGCGUUAUAAUGUUAAUUAUUAAUUAAAUAAGAAUAUGGAGCUGACAAGAUAUUUAUAACGUCGACCAAAAUAUAUAUUAGCAGAAAUUUAUAAUUAAAAGACUAACAGAGGGGUAUUUUCAUAUAUAACUCUAAAAUCAGGUUUUCAUUUGGUCUGGGCAAUUGUAACCAUGUUUAACGGCAGAGAAUUAAUAUUAGUGUUUGGAGCCAGGUGCCGUUUGUGGUCCAAAGCUGUACUACUAGAAUUGAUGGCAUGAAGUAUUGCCAUAGCAGCUGCGUAGCAAUGAGAUUAACAAUCAGUAAUAUUAGCAGCAAAAGGAGAUAGCCAUGACAAUUCUGGACAUUCUGCCAAGGCAUACCUCCGGCACCGCUCACACUGACAAGUCAGUGCAAAUGAAAUAUAAUGUAUAGUGGUCUAUACAUCCUAUUUUAUGUGAGAUUAAAAAUUAUAUAAAAUAAAAUGACAUACUACCAGCUAAAAUCCUCUAGAAUAAACAUGGGUGGGUGGGUAGGGAAAAGGUAUCUAAGCGAUAAACUUGCUGCAGCUAGGCAAAGCAUACAAUGCAGGGCUGCCAACCCUGGAAGUUUUCAAAUCUGGAGAAUUGAUAUGAAUUUUUUUUUUCGGCGACCCCCCCUGUUGCCAAAAAAAUUUCGGUCAGUGUACCAUUUUAGGGGUGAAAAUUUUUUUUGGACAUACAAAAAGUCCUAUAUAUACUAUAAAUUGCCUGAAUAACUGUUGAUUUCAACUUUCACAAUAUUAUGUACUAGUUUAAUAAAAUAUCGACAUUUUAAUGGCGUCAAUACGGGUAAAAAAAUCCCUGUAAGAUGAAGUGUUUACGGAAAAUAGCGCCAUUCAACCGCUGAUUAAAAGCAACGCAGGCAGCAACGAAAGAAUUUUAUUUUUACCAGCAAAACGAAUGUGCAACGCAAAUAAUUUUUAUUGUUAAAACCUUUGACAACGAAGAAUCAAAUGGCUAGUGCAUAAAUAGACGUUGGUGAUUAUCCUAAUCCGGGAGAAUUAAGACAAAAUCUGGAGACUGGGAGAUUAGGUCCAAAAUCUUGAGACUCACGGAUAAUCCGGGAGAGUUGGCAGCCCUGACAAUGAAACAAUGAAUACCCAGACCGAAGUACUGAUCACAAGGCGCGAAACAACCCCCUUUAAUUGAUAUGACGUCACAGACUCCCCUCAGUGGAUGUGGCCUGCAUAAUACAUUCGCCGUUAACCUUCCUUAAAUGUAUUUAACCACAUCAAGAUAGCUGAUGUAAUAAUACAUUGUCAAUUUAUCUCUGCAAUCAGUAAAGACUGAUUUGCAUACAGCACACAGAAGACAAGAUAAAUCCAGACUAUUUCACAUCAGUGACCAUGAUUCAGUCGCAAUUACAAGCAAAUGGAUACCAUGCUAAUUAAGCAAAUUCCUUCAAAUUUAAUUGAAACCCCCCACCCCUCAUUUUCUUGAAAAGAAAUCCAGAUACCAAUAAACAAAACAUGCAUUUCGUUAACAUUCCAAUCCCAACUAGUAUAAUUACUGUGGGAUUGGUAUUAUAGUCUGAUACAGUCAUUCAGAUAGCAAUGAAUAAAACAUGGUUACGUUAAGAUUCCAAUCCCAACUAGUAUAAUUACUGUGCGAUUUGUAUUAUAGUCUGAUACAGUCAUCCAGAUACCAAUAAAUAAAACAUGCAUCUCGUUAAGAUUCCAAUCCCAACUAGUAUAAUUACUGUGGGAUUGGUAUUAUAGUCUGAUACAGUCAUCCAAAUAUCAAAAAUUAAAAAAUGCAUUUCGGCAAGAUUCCAAUUCCAACUAGUAUAAUUACUGUGGGAUUGGUAUUAUAGUCUGAUACAGUCAUCCAGAUAACAAUAAAUAAAACAUGCAUUUCGUUAAGAUUCCAAUCCCAACUAGUAUAAUUACUGUGGGAUUGGUAUUAUUGUCUGAUACAGUCAUCCAGAUACCUACAAAUAAAACAUGCAUUUCGGCAAGAUUC